rnacentral:rRNA from 1 species
AUGAACGCUGGCGGCGUGCUUAACACAUGCAAGUCGAACGGAAAGGCCCCUGCUUGCAGGGGUACUCGAGUGGCGAACGGGUGAGUAACACGUGGGUGAUCUGCCCUGCACUUCGGGAUAAGAAUGGGAAACUGGGGCUAAUACCGGAUAGGACGAUGGUUUGGAUGAUAUUGUGGAAAGUUUUUCGGUGUGGGAUGAGCUCGCGGCCUAUCAGCUUGUUGGUGGGGUAAUGGCCUACCAAGGCGUCGAAGGGUAGCCGGCCUGAGAGGGUGUACGGCCACAUUGGGACUGAGAUACGGCCCAGACUCCUACGGGAGGCAGCAGUGGGGAAUAUUGCACAGUGGGCGCAAGCCUGAUGCAGCGACGCUGCGUGGGGGAUGACGGCCUUCGGGUUGUAAACUCCUUUCGCUAGGGACGAAGCGCAAGUGACGGUACCUGGUGAAGAAGCACCGGCUAACUACGUG